GUGAAGACAUUACAGGGUCAGUGCACUCAACAAGGGCAAGAGUUGAGUGACAUGCAGGCCACACUGAACCAUGAAGAGCACAGAGAGGAGGAAAUGAGAAAGGAGACCUUUACUCUCAGACAAAGGGUACUGGAAAGCGAUGCUGGCAGAGAAGCAACUCUGAAGGAGGUACAACACAAACACUGGCAUAAAUAUAGAAUCCACACUCACAUGCAGUAACACACUUAAACUGUUGGAACUGGUCUGUCUGUUAAAAGGCUGCAGGUUUGCAGCGGCAUGUAGCAGAACUGGAAGAAGCACAGUGCCAGGAGAAAGAGGUGCAGCAACAAUGGCAUGAUAAUCUUCAGGAGAGCCAAGUGAAGCAGUGUGUGGAGGUUGCUCGCUUGGAGUGGGCACUGCAGGAGGCCCAGGCCCAGCUCAAGGAGCUUGGGCUGAAGGUGAGUCUAGCAGAGGCCCGGGCCCAGGGGCUGGAAGAGCAGCUGGGACAGAAUGAAGCCAUAUGGAGAAAUCUUGAGCACAGGUUGAAUGUUCUCAGUUCUACCCUAAGACGUACACUUGGAAGCGGACGUGGAAGACAGUCGCCCGCACCAUGGAGAACUCGAUCUGGGGAACAGACGGAGUCAAUCACCAUGGAGAACUCGAUCACCUGUGAAAGGUAAUGCAUUCUCAGUCCAAUAAUGAAUUGGGUCUCUGUAGCAAAGGUCAAGAAGAAGAUCACCACUCUUAUAUUACAAAGGAUUCUUUUCUUAAUAUCUAAAGGUUAUUUAACAAUGUGCUGCUAAAACUUACAUGGUGUUCUAAGUUACUUGUGAGAAGAAUUAAAUAAAACCUUCUGUGUAUACCCUCAGGUGAAAUUAUGUCAGAUGAACCUGGGGUGAGUGGAUUGCCGGUGUGUUCUCUGUCCCCCUCCCGCAGAGAGGAAGGAGAAUUGGAUUUGGACUCAGUUCACAUGUUGCUGCGUAGCUUCCAGCAAGAGCUCAGGGACACAGAGAGAGAGCGGGAUGAGGCACAAGCACAAGAUGAGGCGGUUCAGCGUGGGGAGUUACAGAAUAGGAUUAUGAGUGAAGAGCUGGCCAAAAUGAAGAACAGCCAACAGAUAACUGAGGCAGAGGCCAAAGCACUGCAGGUUAACACUCAUAUAUUCUACACUAACACAAAGAUAGUUUGCAGAGUUCAGUGCAGGAGUGAUCAGCAACUUUUCAGGACAGAAGUUAAACACUGUUUUAAAAGAUGUAUGCAUUAUCAUUACACAUGUUUGGGGAAAAAAGUUUUUUACUCCACUAUGAAAACACUGAAUGGGAUUUUUACUUCUGGAAUCCAAGCGAUGCACCAACUCUCUCACACAGCACCACAGUCAGAUAUAACGAGUAGGAAUUAUCAAGUGUUCACUGCCACUCCACAAUAA
ensembl:lncRNA